rnacentral:antisense_RNA from 1 species
GAUAUCGUAAGCAACGUCAUCCCCUGUUUUUUUUACUUCCAUUUAAAAUUUCUAGUAAUAUAGAAUGAUCAAGAAAAUGACAACUAGACUAAGUUUGGUCCAAAGAAACUGAGCCUUGGUUAAAUUCUUCCAAUGGUUUUAAAUUUAUUUGUAUAUAAACUUACGAUUUGGUAGAUGAUGGAAGCAA